GAUGAAGAACGUAGCGAAAUGCGAUACUUGGUGUGAAUUGCAGAAUCCCGUGAACCAUCGAGUCUUUGAACGCAAGUUGCGCCCGAAGCCAUCAGGUUGAGGGCACGUCUGCCAGGGCGUCACAUAUCGUUGCCCAAUGCCUAUUGCAGUGCAAUAGGAAUUUCUAGGGCGAAUGAUGGCUUCCCGUGAGCGUUGUUGCCUCGCGGUUGGUUGAAAAUCGAGUCCUUGGUAGGGUGUGCCAUGGUAGAUGGUGGUCGAGUUAGAACGAUACCGAUCAUGUGCAUGCUCCCCAAAAUAUGGCCUCUAUGACCCACACGCGUCUUUUGACGCUCAUGACGAGACCUCAGGUCAGGCGGGGCUACCCGCUGAAUUUAAGCAUAUCAAUAAGCGGAGGA
rnacentral:misc_RNA from 1 species